AUACGGAGGGGGUUAGCGUUGUGCGGAAUUACUGGGCGUAAAGCGUACGUAGGCGGAUCAGAAAGUAUGGGGUGAAAUCCCAGGGCUCAACCCUGGAACUGCCUCAUAAACUCCUGGUCUUGAGUUCGAGAGAGGUGAGUGGAAUUCCGAGUGUAGAGGUGAAAUUCGUAGAUAUUCGGAGGAACACCAGUGGCGAAGGCGGCUCACUGGCUCGAUACUGACGCUGAGGUACGAAAGUGUGGGGAGCAAACAGGAUUAGAAACCCUUGUAGUCC
rnacentral:rRNA from 1 species